rnacentral:rRNA from 1 species
UACGUAGGGUGCGAGCGUUAAUCGGAAUUACUGGGCGUAAAGCGUGCGCAGGCGGUUAUAUAAGACAGAGGUGAAAUCCCCGGGCUCAACCUGGGAACUGCCUUUGUGACUGUAUAGCUUGAGUGCGGCAGAGGGGGAUGGAAUUCCGCGUGUAGCAGUGAAAUGCGUAGAUAUGCGGAGGAACACCGAUGGCGAAGGCAGCCUCCUGGGACGACACUGACGCUCAUACACGAAAGCGUGGGGAGCAAACAGG